rnacentral:rRNA from 1 species
UACGGGGGGGGCAAGCGUUGUUCGGAAUUACUGGGCGUAAAGGGCUCGUAGGUGGCCAACUAAGUCAGACGUGAAAUCCCUCAGCUUAACUGGGGAACUGCGUCUGAUACUGGAUGGCUUGAGUUUGGGAGAGGGAUGCGGAAUUCCAGGUGUAGCGGUGAAAUGCGUAGAUAUCUGGAGGAAUACCGGUGGCGAAGGCGGCAUCCUGGACCGGCAUUGACGCUGAUGAGCGAAAGCUAGGGGAGCAAACGGG